AAUGAACGUUGGCGGCGUGGAUUAGGCAUGCAAGUCGUGCGCGAACUGUAGCAAUACGGGGAAAGCGGCGUAAGGGAGAGUAAUACGUAGGUAUCUACCCAUGGGUCUGGGAUAGCGGCGGGAAACUGCCGGUAAUACCAGAUAACGUCUCCGGACCAAAGGUGUGAUUCCACCUGUGGAGGAGCCUACGGCCUAUUAGCUAGUUGGAAGGGUAACGGCCUACCAAGGCUUGGAUGGGUACGGGGUGUGAGAGCAUGCCCCCCGCUCACUGGGACGUGAGACACUGCCCAGACACCUACGGGUGGCUGCAGUCGAGAAUCUUCGGCAAUGGGCGGCAAGCCUGACCGAGCGACGCCGCGUGCGGGAGUGAAGGCCUCGGUU
rnacentral:rRNA from 1 species